GCCCUCGUAGCUCAAUGGAUAGAGCAAUCGCCUCCUAAGCGAUAGAUGAUGGUUCGAGUCCGUCCGGGGGUACAA
rnacentral:tRNA from 1 species